rnacentral:antisense_RNA from 1 species
AUUCUAGGAAUGUCUUGAUCUACGCAAUUGUUUAUGAAUUGUCUUUUGCAAAUGUUUUUCUCGAUGGAGACAAAACAUACAAAGGAAAACCAAUUCAUAAAAAUUGGUAGGCGCGAUUGGACUCGAACCAACGACCCCCACCA